UGUGAAGGGACGGGCAAUGGUAUGU
rnacentral:miRNA from 1 species